ensembl:lncRNA
GCCUAGCUUACCUGGCGAAGGGCUUGUGGCGGUUGGAGUGGAGGUGGUUGUGGUGGGAGUGGAGGUGGUGGUGGAUGUGGCGGUGGUGGGAGUGGGUGUGGUGGUGGUGGAGGUGGCGGUGGUGGGAGUGGCGGUGGUGGUGGUGGAGGUGAUGGAGGAGGUGGUGGGAGUGGAGGUGGUGGUGGUGGUGGGGAUGGGGAUGGGAGAGGUGGUGAUGGGGCUGGUGGUUGGCGCGGGGGAGGUUGUCAGCACUGCGUCUGCAUGGGUCAACAUCGUCGCCGUGCUGGUCGGGGGGAUCGGCUGGUGAAUCCCUCGGUUGGCGCUGCUCUCUGGAGCCAUCUGAUUGGUCGAGGUGACGCUUUGGAGGGGGGCUGACGAGCCACAUCAAGGGACCAGGUCAAGUUUUUUUUUUUUUUCCAUGCAGAGCCAGGAUUGGUCUAGUGAGAGGGCGGGACUCUUCUGGGUGUUAGCUCCGCCCACCUCGCUACACAUCCUGGUGCCCAAUCACUGAACGUCUCUACGAAGGAAGGCACGCGCUGAAUGACUCACUAGCUAAGUGUUACUCAAAUGGGGUUACUGCAGGGGGUACUCAUAACUCAUAAGUUUCUCCCUAAAUUGUCUUUAUUUUCACCCUUUUAUAUGUUAAUGUUAAUAAUAAUAAUAAUGGAUUGAAUUUAUAUAGCUCUUUUCUAGACACUCAAAGACGCUUUACAGUGAAGGGGGGGACCUCACUAACCACCACCGGUGUGUAGCACCCACUGGGGUGAUGCACGGCAGCCAAUUCAGCCAAUUACACACGAGGAUGAUUAGGGGGCCAGAUUGAAUGAGUCUGGGUGGGCCAGGACACCGGGGAGAGAUGGACCUCGGUUUUAUGUCUCCUCUGAGGGACGGCCAAAGAAUGCACAGACAUUGUUUAUUAUGUUCAUUGGUUCCACUCACUGACAGCAACAUCUUGACUCCAUGCAGGGAGGGAUGAGUUUCAGGAAGUGUUGCAAUGUAGGCCAGCAACACGCAGAUGCUAAACAAUGGGAAUCUAGCGGCUCUUCCCUGGGAAUAGUGCAAUCAAGAGGAUGGCGUGAACUGAAGAGCACUUUGCAGCAGGCAGGAAGAAGGUGCAAAGUGCUACGCUUUUGAAACUCUCCAGUGUUCGCUCACUGGAGAGAACACGGUCGUGGGCCCAACGUUCAAUCGCCACCGUGUUGCAUAUACGUAGCCGUGGUUCUCAAACUGUUUCUAGUGGACCCCCUCUUAGACAUUAUUCAGCUGAGGACCCCUAGACCGGCACAAAACAUAAAUGAUUAUGAUCAUGUGUGUUCUAUUUGGCAUUGUAAAGAAAAAGGGGCCUGUGCUUCAUGCAACAGUUGGCUAGUAUCUCCAAACAAAAGAAGCACAACACGAAAGGCAAGAGCAUGUCCCUGAUGUGCUUUCCUAUUCACCGAUUCGCCUUUCUCCUUGUUUUAGGAUUUACAAUUCAACCACUUGUCCAUUUUCUCGAUUUCAUAUUGUAGAAUUGAAUUGAAGAAUCGAAACUUGGUGAAAAAAACGAAUGUUUCUGAGUGCCCCCUGCAGUACUCCAAAUGAGCCCUCAGGGUACGCGUACCCCCAUUUGAGAACCACUGGUGUAUAGGGUGCAGAAAUGGGUGCUCAGUGCACUUACCGUGGGAAGUUGGGUUGACAUCUGGCGGCUUGGUGGUAAUCACAAUUCUGG